rnacentral:rRNA from 1 species
UACGUAGGGCGCAAGCGUUGUCCGGAAUUAUUGGGCGUAAAGAGCUCGUAGGCGGCUUGUCGCGUCGAUUGUGAAAGCCCGGGGCUUAACUCCGGGUCUGCAGUCGAUACGGGCAGGCUAGAGUGUGGUAGGGGAGAUCGGAAUUCCUGGUGUAGCGGUGGAAUGCGCAGAUAUCAGGAGGAACACCGGUGGCGAAGGCGGGUCUCUGGGCAGUAACUGACGCUGAGGAGCGAAAGCGUGGGGAGCGAACAGG